AGUGAACGCUGGCGGUAGGCCUAACACAUGCAAGUCGAACGGCAGCACAGUAAGAGCUUGCUCUUACGGGUGGCGAGUGGCGUACGGGUGAGGAAUACAUCGGAAUCUACUUUUUCGUGGGGGAUAACGUAGGGAAACUUACGCUAAUACCGCAUACGACCUACGGGUGAAAGCAGGGGAUCUUCGGACCUUGCGCGAUUGAAUGAGCCGAUGUCGGAUUAGCUAGUUGGCGGGGUAAAGGCCCACCAAGGCGACGAUCCGUAGCUGGUCUGAGAGGAUGAUCGGCGACACUGGAACUGAGACACGGUCCAGACUCCUACGGGAGGCAGCAGUGGGGAAUAUUGGACAAUGGGCGCAAGCCUGAUCCAGCCAUACCGCGUGGGUGAAGAAGGCCUUCGGGUUGUAAAGCCCUUUUGUUGGGAAAGAAAAGCAGCAGGUUAAUACCCCGCUGUUCUGACGGUACCCAAAGAAUAAGCACCGGCUAACUUCGUG
rnacentral:rRNA from 1 species